rnacentral:tRNA from 1 species
GGGCGAUUAGCUCAGUUGGCUAGAGCACCAGCUCGACAAGCUGGGGGUCGAAGGUUCAAAUCCUUCAUCGCCCACCA